rnacentral:tRNA from 1 species
GCCUCGGUAGCGCAGUAGGCAGCGCGUCAGUCUCAUAAUCUGAAGGUCGUGAGUUCGAUCAUCGCUCGGGGCA